AGCAGCCGCGGUAAUUCCAGCUCCAAUAGCGUAUAUUAAAGUUGUUGCAGUUAAAAAAGCUCGUAGUUGAAUUUCGGGAUUGACGUGACGGUCAUGCCUUAAGGGGUAUGAACUGUUACAGUUGAUUUCUCACCUUCUGGAGAAAUUUGAUGUCCUUUAUUGGGUGUCUUGCGGAUCCAGGACCUUUACCUUGAAAAAAUUAGAGUGUUUAAAGCAGGCAUUUUUGCUCGAAUACAUUAGCAUGGAAUAAUAGAAUAGGACGGCAUGGUUCUAUUUUGUUGGUUUCUAGGAUCACCGUAAUGAUUAAUAGGGAUAGUUGGGGCAUUAGUAUUCAAUUGUCAGAGGUGAAAUUCUUGGAUUUAUUGAAGACUAACUACUGCGAAAGCA
rnacentral:rRNA from 1 species